rnacentral:lncRNA from 1 species
AAUGCUACUUCUUCUGUCCCCUUACGCAUAGCAGUCACUGGUCAGCAGGACUUCUCGUGGUGAGGAAGCCAUGUCAGGAUCCAGGCUGGUGUGCAGAUGUGAAAGUAGAGAAGACGAUUGAACAGUUGGUAGACAGUCCCCGCUGGAGAGAGGAGAGAGGGGCCUCCAGAGCAAAUCAUGUCAUUCCCAAAGCUGCCUGCUUUCCUUGGCUCUGGGCCGCACCCCCCAU